rnacentral:lncRNA from 1 species
CUACUAGAGAAUUUUUCCUACCAAAAGGAAAAAGUAAACCAAGAAAGACAAAGAUGUGGAAUGGCAAAAAUAGGAGACAUAACACAAGAGAGAUAAAUUCUUUAAAGUGUGGUGAAGGAAAAUCCUAGGAUGAGAAAAUUGAAUCACGCCUAGAAGGCAACCAGUCAAGACUGUUGCAAGGAAGCAGCCAACAAGAGAAUGUUCUUCAAGGCAGGUGGAGGAACUCAGCCAUCCUG